rnacentral:rRNA from 1 species
GUAGGUGGCAAGCGUUGUCCGGAAUUAUUGGGCGUAAAGCGCGCGCAGGCGGUUCUUUAAGUCUGAUGUGAAAGCCCACGGGCUCAACCGUGGAGGGUCAUUGGAAACUGGAGAACUUGAGUACAGAAGAGGAAAGCGGAAUUCCACGUGUAGCGGUGAAAUGCGUAGAGAUGUGGAGGAACACCAGUGGCGAAGGCGGCUUUCUGGUCUGUAACUGACGCUGAGGCGCGAAAGCGUGGGGAGCAAACAGGAUUAGAUACCCUGGUAGUCCACGCCGUAAACGAUGAGUGCUAAGUGUUAGGGGGUUUCCGCCCCUUAGUGCUGCAGCUAACGCAUUAAGCACUCCGCCUGGGGAGUACGGCCGCAAGGCU